CAGUAAUGGAGACCCAGUGUACCUUGCAGCAGAGGAUACAGUCAAAAGUCUCAAGGAAAGAAUCAGUCAAAUACACACCGUGCAGACGCAUUCAGCGGUUGCCACAGGAAUCAGUCCAGCAAGGCCCAAAGCAUAUGCUAUUAACCACUCCACUGCCUAUGGGGGCCGAGAGACCGUGAAGGUUCUAAUGACUCUUUUGGAUGAAGAAGCAUUAGCACCGCCCUGCAGGAACAAGGCGGAACUGCUCUCUGAAGAUCAUGCCGUUCUUAAUGGCAGCUCUGGAGCGUGUCUUCUUUCCCUUUACAAAUCUCCAGAAGCUCCCACGGGAUCUUCUCCAAAGCCUUUACGGAACCGCAUCUUGAGCCAACAAGAACACAUCAAGUC